rnacentral:tRNA from 1 species
UUGAGCCUAGGUAUGGAAACGUACCGAGUGGUCGCUCUCAGAUUCAGGGAAACCUAGGAAAAAUCCGUUGGUUUUUGUAGAACCAUGAGGGUUCGAGUCCCUCUAUCCCCAACAAAUAAUAUAGGGGCAAAAGUGACAAAAUUCCUGGCUUGUAAGAGUUCGUUGGAGUA